rnacentral:rRNA from 1 species
UACGUAGGGGGCAAGCGUUGUCCGGAAUCAUUGGGCGUAAAGAGCGCGUAGGCGGUCCGAUAAGUCGGCUGUGAAAGUCAGGGGCUCAACCCCUGGAUGCCGGCCGAUACUGUCGGGCUAGAGUCCGGAAGAGGCGAGUGGAAUUCCCGGUGUAGCGGUGAAAUGCGCAGAUAUCGGGAGGAACACCAAUGGCGAAGGCAGCUCGCUGGGACGGUACUGACGCUGAGGCGCGAAAGCGUGGGGAGCAAACAGG